GAUGAACGCUGACAGAAUGCUUAACACAUGCAAGUCGAUUCGAUUUACCUUCGGGUAUUGAGGAUGGCGGACGGGUGAGUAACGCGUAAGGAACUUGCCUCUUGGUCUGGGACAACUGUUGGAAACGACAGCUAAUACCGGAUAUUAUGAGAUUCUCGCAUGGGAAACUUAUGAAAGCUAUAUGCGCCAAGAGAGAGCCUUGCGUUCCAUUAGCUGGUUGGUGGGGUAACGGCCCACCAAGGCGACGAUGGAUAGCCGGCCUGAGAGGGUGAACGGCCACAAGGGGACUGAGACACGGCCCUUACUCCUACGGGAGGCAGCAGUUGGGAAUAUUGGACAAUGGGCCACAAGCCUGAUCCAGCAAUUCUGUGUGCACGAUGAAGGUCUUCGGAUUGUAAAGUGCUUUCAGUUGGGAAGAAGAAAGUGACGGUACCAACAGAAGAAGCGACGGCUAAAUACGUGCCAGCAGCCGCCGUAAUAC
rnacentral:rRNA from 1 species